UUGCUGUGAUGACUAUCUUAGGACACCUUUGGAAUACCUAUGAAAAAAACCUUAUAAGUUCUUUCUGAGCAAC
ensembl:snoRNA SNORD58 Small nucleolar RNA SNORD58